rnacentral:lncRNA from 1 species
CCAACGCGUUUCUUUUACCCCCAAUUUGGUUUGUACGCGGUCAAUUUCACGGUAGGACCUUUAUCCUGCAAAAGUGUAUUAUCGGGGUCAAAAUUAAAUUAUCGAGCAAUUCAACUUUCAUUUCAUUCCAUCUCUCUCACUUUCUCAUUUUUUUUCUUAUCUUUUCUUUCAUUUAUUCUUUUCCUCUCUUUCUUUUCUUUCUUUUCUUGCUGCCCCUGCAGCUCAGCUUGCAGCAGCUGAUUGCUGCUGCUGCUGCCUGCAGCUGCUCAGCCUGCAGCAGCAGCCAAGUGCUGCUGCCUGCAGCUGCUGCUGCUGCUGCUUGGCUCGCAGCAGCAGCAAGGAACUGCUGCUGCUGCUGCUGC